rnacentral:rRNA from 1 species
GACGAACGCUGGCGGCGUGCUUAACACAUGCAAGUCGAACGGAAAGGCCCUGCUUUUGUGGGGUGCUCGAAUGGCGAACGGGUGAGUAACAAGUGAGUAACCUGCCCUUGAAUUUGGGAUAACUUCAGGAAACUGGGGCUAAUACCGGAUAGGAGCUCCUGCUGCAUGGUGGGGGUUGGAACGUUUCGGCGGUUGGGGAUGGACUCGCGGCAUAUCAGCUUGUUGGUGGGGUAGAGGCUUACCAAGGCUUUGACGGGUAGCCGGCCUGAGAGGGUGACCGGCCACAUUGGGACGGAGAUACGGCCCAGACUCCUACGGGAGGCAGCAGUGGGGAAUAGUGCACAAUGGGCGGAAGCCUGAUGCAGCAACGCCGCGUGCGGGAUGACGGCCUUCGGGUUGUAAACCGCUUUCGCCUGUGACGAAGCGUGAGUGACGGUAAUGGGUAAAGAAGCACCGGCUAACUACGUG